rnacentral:rRNA from 1 species
UACGAAGGGGGCUAGCGUUGCUCGGAAUUACUGGGCGUAAAGCGCACGUAGGCGGGUUCUUAAGUCGGGGGUGAAAUCCUGGAGCUCAACUCCAGAACUGCCUUCGAAACUGGGAAUCUUGAGUCCGGGAGAGGUGAGUGGAACUGCGAGUGUAGAGGUGAAAUUCGUAGAUAUUCGCAAGAACACCAGUGGCGAAGGCGGCUCACUGGCCCGGUACUGACGCUGAGGUGCGAAAGCGUGGGGAGCAAACAGG